GUCUUUAAAAGCUAUAAGAAAUGCUAGAACUCAUUCAUUCUCAACCCUCUUCUCCAUGAAGGAUUAAAUUCCAUGGAAGAAUCUUUGCAUCAUCAGUAACUAAGAUGAGAACAUUGACAGGCUGCUGAUAGUAUUCCCAGAUGACAUCACCGACACACUAGAUGAUGAAGCAGAAUCCAGUAAUUCAGUUUAACAACUAUUUACUGGUCACCAAGGAGGAGUCAGGGUCAGCUACUUCCAGGAUGUGAAGAGUUCCUUACUAUAGGUGUUGGACACUGGCUACAGGUACCAACAUGUCAUGCCUUUCAUGUAGAAUUUCUGUUCUUAUUACUAACAUCACCUCAGCACUCUUC
rnacentral:lncRNA from 1 species